rnacentral:rRNA from 1 species
GUCGAACGGAAAGGCCCUGCUUGCAGGGUACUCGAGUGGCGAACGGGUGAGUAACACGUGGGUGAUCUGCCCUGCACUUCGGGAUAAGCUUGGGAAACUGGGUCUAAUACCGGAUAGGACCGCACUUUAGUGUGUGUGGUGGAAAGUUUUUUCGGUGUAGGAUGAGCUCGCGGCCUAUCAGCUUGUUGGUGGGGUAAUGGCCUACCAAGGCGGCGACGGGUAGCCGGCCUGAGAGGGUGUACGGCCACAUUGGGACUGAGAUACGGCCCAGACUCCUACGGGAGGCAGCAGUGGGGAAUAUUGCACAAUGGGCGCAAGCCUGAUGCAGCGACGCCGCGUGGGGGAUGAAGGCCUUCGGGUUGUAAACUCCUUUCGCUAGGGACGAAGCUUUUUGUGACGGUACCUAGAUAAGAAGCACCGGCUAACUACGUGCCAGCAGCCGCGGUAAUACGUAGGGUGCGAGCGUUGUCCGGAAUUACUGGGCGUAAAGGGCUCGUAGGUGGUUUGUCGCGUCGUCUGUGAAAUUCUGGGGCUUAACUCCGGGCGUGCAGGCGAUACGGGCAUAACUUGAGUGCUGUAGGGGUAACUGGAAUUCCUGGUGUAGCGGUGAAAUGCGCAGAUAUCAGGAGGAACACCGAUGGCGAAGGCAGGUUACUGGGCAGUUACUGACGCUGAGGAGCGAAA